UUGCCAGACUCCUACGGGAGGCAGCAGUGGGGGAUAUUGCACAAUGGGGGGAACCCUGAUGCAGCGACGCCGCGUGGGUGAAGGAGUGCUUCGGCAUGUAAAGCCCUAUCGGCAGGGAAGAAGCAAGACGGUACCUGACUAAGAAGCCCCGGCUAACUACGUGCCAGCAGCCGCGGUAAUACGUAGGGGGCUAGCGUUAUCCGGAAUUACUGGGCGUAAAGGGUGCGUAGGUGGUUUCUUAAGUCAGAGGUGAAAGGCUACGGCUCAACCGUAGUAAGCCUUUGAAACUGGGGAACUUGAGUGCAGGAGAGGAGAGUGGAAUUCCUAGUGUAGCGGUGAAAUGCGUAGAUAUUAGGAGGAACACCAGUUGCGAAGGCGGCCUGCUGGACUGCAACUGACGUUGAGGCCCGAAAGCGUGGGGAGCAAACAGGAUUAGAUACCCGCGUAAG
rnacentral:rRNA from 1 species